ensembl:lncRNA
CCUAGUCCCCCUUUGAUCACCAACAGGCUCUUAAGUUUCUUUUCUGAAAACUUGUGUUCAUACUGUGUUUCCUCCUUGGGUUGAUAAGAGCCUGAAAAGACAUCAUAGGUGUGAGGUAUGUUGGCUAGUUCCGAUGCCAUCCCACACCUGGGUUGUAUUGCUAUUGCUUUUGUCUAUGGACUAAGGUUUCAGGAUGAAGGGGAAUAUGGGGCAAAUGAGUGAAGGGAAGACAUGGAUUGGGAUGUCAAGACUCCCCAAGAUGUUUUCAGGGAAAGCUGUACCUUGGAAAACAGCACAGGGGUUCAGAGAAGACAGAGCUGCCGUAAAGGAGGUCAGAAAUGUCUGAAAGUAAGGAGGGAUGCAUAAACCAUGGAGACCCAUUCACAUGACUUGGCCUCGGGUGUAAAAAUAGGACCCUGAGGUCGCCAGACUCUAAAAUGAUCACUUAGUUCCAGCUAAUAUUCUUUGUUGGGAAAAAUGUGGGCAGUUCUGUGGUAUGAAGCAGCACUUCCUGACAGAGAAGUCUGUCGAUCCGUUUAAGCUGCUAGGAACCACGUCCCUCAAGAGGUCUCACAUGCCACAGCCAAGUUGGCCAAGGCCCACGGAAACAUUACAUGCUGCUGAGAACCAUGUGUGUUGGCAGAGGCAGCUCUCUUGCUCUGCGCACAGACCAGCUCAACCUCAGCCCACCAGGGACGACCGCUGGGGCCCCUCCCUGCUCCUGGAGCUCCCACUGGAAGCACCUAUAGACAAAGGCACCUUCCCAGGGCCCACAAGUUGCACAGCAUGCUGGGAAGGAAUACGGGCAUCAGAAAACCCAGAGAGAGCCUGCUUCGAGCCUUGAUGUCACCAAGUCAGCACUGUGACCUGGGGCUGUUUCCUUAACUGACUUUUUCAUCUAUAAAAUGGAGCUAGAGCAGCCUUCCUCGCAAGGUCAGUAUGAGGAUUUCAGACAAUGUCCGUCAAGUAUCUGGCACACAGUAAAUGUUCAAUAAAUGAGAACUAUUGUUAUUGCUAUUUGACAUGGUGCAAAGCAGACGUGGAUUUGGAGCCCAGUUUUGCCGUUUACCAGCUGUCUGAGAUCAGGCAGGUUACUAAGCCUCUCUGAGCCUCAUUAUUUUCCUUAUUUGUAAACUGGGGAACACGUUACUUAACCUUCAGUGGUGGUGUGCGAAUCAGAGUUAAUUUAAGAAAGGUGUCUAAUUGAGCACCUGGCACAUGGUAGUACUCAAUGAAAGUUAUCUGUUAGGGUUUUUUGUAGAUCAAAGCAGGAAUGAAAAUUCUUGAUGUUGGUUUCUACAGAGCAAGUAUGUGUAAGCAUAACAAGCCACUUUGAAUUGUUCUGUGGGAAAUUGUGUUCUUAAACAGGCUGCCUUAUUUCCCCAGUCAGCACUGGUUCUGAACCUGUGGGCAGCAGAGGCAGAGGCUGGGGACUGGCCCCUCCCGUCCCACCCUCCCCUAUGAUCCUCUUUCUCUGUCCAUUUUCCAGAAGACAUUUUCUCCUCCAGCCUCAGUCCCCCGAGGAAAGCUGGAGCAAUAGGUCACCGUUAUUUAAACUGCCACAGGAUUUUCAGACCAUGAGACUCCUGUCUCUCCUCCGUCUGGGCUGGCCCGUCCCCAAGAAGGAAGGCAGCCAGGAGGUGGAGGAGGUUAUUAAACCAUUUUAUAUCCGUCCUGUUUUUAAUUGAUUUCACAGCAGGGGAAGAAAAAUCAGAAUCCUUCCUACGUACCCUUUCCACGCGGGAGUCCUCCUCUGGUCAGGAAGCCCGUCUGGGAAGCGCUGGAGUGGGUCUGCGUGUUCUCAGUUGCCCUCCCCAUGGUCUGCCAGCUCCGGCAGCACCAGGCCCCUCCUGGCAGUGCUCUUGCCUCUGUGGGGCCCCUGGGCAUCCCCUUUACAUACUGGCUUGGAAAGAGGGUAGCCCUCCUCUGCUCCCCAUCUCCUGGUCUCCAAUGGUCCCAACUCUCCCUCUUAGGUGUAGCCCACGUGUCUGUGGGGGCCUCCCAGUUCCUAGAAUCUAGAUGCCCUCGGCUCACCCCACAGCCCAUGCCUGGUGGGAGCCCAAAGGCCUCCUGGGAUUUUUUUGGGUUCCUGGGUGGGGGCAGCGGUGGCUAACAUCAUAGAAUUACCUUUGGUCUCCCAAGUUUUCUGCAUCUUGUGGCAAAAACAUGGCCCCCAAAAUGGUGUGUGUUCUUUGUGAGGACUUGGUGGUUGUAAAGAGUGGCCACAUAACACGACAGAGAAAACAGUGAAAACGCACGUUUGAGACUUCCAUUCUGAGAAGGCAGUUCAGCUGUCCAGCCAGGGAUGCCAGUCUUGCGAAGGUCACAGACUGCUCACAAACGGCCUGGUUAGUGUGAGUGCCUCCUGACAGCAGCACUGUGUCUAGUCAGUUCUGUAAGAGGAGACACUGGCCACAGCUUGGUUUCUUUGGAUCCCUCACAGCGCGUAACUGAAGGAAUGCAGGAGAGACAAAGGCAAAACUAGACAAUUAUGAAAGAAAAGGGAGUGGCUAAAACAAAAUGCCCUUUGGAACCUGGAUCAAGCACAGGGUAUGAGCUCCUGCUGCUCCCAGGACCAGCUGGAAUGACAAAAGUGAGAAGCAGCUGUCAUUGGGCCGUUAGCCGUCGCUCUUCUGUCGCAAUGAGAACAGUUGGGUCUUUUCCAGGGCAUGCGUUCUGGAUGAACAUCCUGAUACAGGAACAUGGACGCUAUGGACAACUGUGGACUAGACGUCUGAGACUAAGACUUCAACAACUGUUUGUUUUUAAUUCAGAAAAGAGUAAACAGAAAAUAUCUUACGAAGUAAAUGGUCUUGUCCAAACCUUUCCUCUAAAUAAGGACAAAGAGGGGAUGGCCCGGUGGCCUAGUGGUUAAGUUCGUGUGCUCUGCUUUGGCAGCCUGUGGUUCAUGGGUUUGGAUCCCGGGCACAGACCUACACGCCACUCAUCAAGCCACGCUGUGGCAGUGUCCCACGUAUAAAAUAGAGGAAGAUUGGCACAGACAUUAGCUCAGGGCCAAUCUUCCUCACAAAAAAAUAAAAAUAAAUAAAUAAAUAAAUAGGGACAAAGAUAGCAAGCAAGAGAAGGCCAAAGUGAGGAGGAGGUGGUACAGAAGGAAAGUGGGGAGGCCCCAAGGACAAAAGUGUUCCUCAUUUAAAAAGGCAUCUUCCCUACAUCAUACGGUGGAACUACUCCUCCCCUUUGAAAAUGGAUCUCAAAGGAAGAACGCCUCCUUCCCACAGCUGAUCUCCCCAAUAGGGGCCGGGAAGGGUGCUCGUCCCCCUCCCCCGCUUAAUGUGACUAGAAUGUUCCGCUCUGCUGGCGCUCUCUCGGCAAGCGGCUUACCACAGGAAGCUCCAACCCAGACGACCUAGGCCUGCAGGCCCUGCCAUGGGUCCUCUCCGGCAGCCGCAGCUCCAGGCACACAAGGCAAAUGGCUGCAUCCUUUCUGCCCCAGGCCUCCGAGAAAUUCAUCUCCCAGGAACCAAGAAUCCGCUCCCUGCUGCAGCUCAACAUGGAAGAAUCAGCAGGACUCCUUCUCCACCGUGGGCCCCGCCGCUCAUCAUGUCUCAGUCCUGGGGUGCUGCCUUCCCAGUGAAACCCUGAUGUCUGCUUCAGUAGCCCCAAGUAAAGUCUCAUGUCUUUUAAUGUUCAAACCCGCAUCUGCCUGGGAUUAGCAGAACAGCCAGUCUGCUACGCAGGGUCUCCCUCCUCCAUUUCUGGGAGUUGCAGAAAGAUGUAGUCAGGGUGAGUGCUCGUCACUCCAUCUGCUACUCGUGGUUCCACCGCUGUAGUCAGAGCCUCCUGGGUGACCGCACACUCUCUCCUUUGUAACUCUUUUCUCCAGCAUGUGCUUUGUUUUUUUUUGAGAUCAAGUACACUUUAGUAAGUUCUUUCUUGCAGGAUGGAGGAAAGAUCAAGGAAAGAUGCCUCUGGGUGUUCACAAAUAGAGGCAAAGCUGAAUAAAUAGUUGACCAAAGCAUAACUGCUGGAUAAUCCAAAUGUAUCUUAUUACAUUUAACACGCAUUUAAAAUCCAAGUUGUAAUUACAGCUGAACGAUUGCUGUUGCUUUUCAAUGUAAAAUGAGUUUAUUUUACAUUUAGUUGUACGUUACGUUUUGUUGGUUACAUUGUUCGUACAAUAAGUUACUAUUAUUAUUAGCAACUUAUAUCAACUAUAAAAAU